GGGGCUGCUCCACUGAGGGCUGCGGGUCGGCCCGCAAGCCUCACCCCGCUGACACCUCACACGUGCCAAGAUGUCAGAUGAGCUUCUUCACACCACCGUCCUCAUGGCUGGGUGGGUGUGUCCCAGCAACACCACAGGAUCCUGAGGGUCUGCCGCUGCCACGCUGCCUUGCCGUUCGCCCUUCGGUGGACAUCUGAGCUGUUUUCUCAUAUGUAACGGAGGCCAACAGCGGGAGCUGGGAAGACUCGGAGCCAAUGCAGCCUCUGCGCAGAGCAGCGUGCCAGGAGCAAGCCCUGAACGCUGGGGGUCCUGCUGGAGAGAGGCUCGCUCUAGAAAAGUCACCAAUGCCAUGUGCUGAUCUGUGUGCUGAGACCCCAGUGAAUUCUCACAGCAGUUUGGGAGCUUCUUUUAUAUCCCUGGAUCAGGACCCUCAGGGACGAUGGCGGUGCUGCCCGUCGGGACAGUGGAUUCCUGACCUUGCAGUCUGCGCCCCGCAUCUCACCCCGCCUCCCCGCAGAGAACACACAGUGCUGGCAGGAAGAUGCACGCGUGCUCUGGCUGAAGCCUGCUUUACUGAACUGAGGGAACUGCCAUUUGGACAUAGAAAGCACGAGAACAAGCAGAGUUCGCUGCAAUGGUGGUAACGGAGCCUUCAAAAUCCCACACAACCGGUGAUGAUUUUAAGCAGACCAAGCUCGCACUUCACUUAGCACUGAAAGCAUUACCAAGCGCGUUUUGCUUCUAAACUCACGGCGCCUCUGGUUUCGGAUCCAGUCGACACACACCUAAACUAAACGGGGGCUGCGAGCAGUGGACCAGAGGUGGAGCUGAGUGAAGCGUAAUACGGGGGUUCUGGAAAGACCAAAGCAGAAAGGAGUAUGUGCUCCCUUUGAAAUACUCAGGGCUCAAUGAUCUCACUAACUGUCCAACCGGAGAUAUUAAGACUGUGAUUAAGAAAUGUGAAUAUUCUCCGGCAACUGCUGCAGAGUGGCUGCGUAAUGGUGUGCUGAUGUGUUUACAGUCACUGCCAUUUUACUGAACCACCGAGAACCAUAGGAACCUCCAUUAAUUAAUUAAGCGGUGGCUUCAUUUUGCGUAUUUGUUUCACCUUCAUUAAAUACCUUUUGCAAAGAUGGUGAAACCCGGGUUCUGAAAGAAUGAUGGGUAAUUAGA